rnacentral:RNase_P_RNA from 1 species
GAUGUGCGUGGUAAGGUUGAAAUGGUGGGGUAAGAGCCCACCGCCUGCGGGGCUAACGUCGCAGGGCACGGUAAACCCCACUUGGAGCAAGGCCAAAUAGGCAUGCUAUGAAUCGGCUCGGUUCGCAUGCGGGUGUGCUGCUUGAGCUUUGUAGUGAUGCAAAGCCUAGAGGAAUGGUUGUCCACGACAGAACCCGGCUUAUCGACCAGCUCCGCCA